rnacentral:tRNA from 1 species
UAACUCUUCAUGAGAUUUUAUAAUUGGAAAUUAUAUAUAAUAAAUUAUAUUAAAGAGUU